CUUGAUAACUUUAUGCUGCCUCUCCUGGUCUUAGGUUUUUUUGUUGUUGUUGUUAUUUGUCUAUAAAGUAGAAACAAUAUAUUCUGUGUGGAUCAGAUGAGGGCCGGGGUGGCCACUGGGUUUUGGAUGUGAGCAGAGCAUCAAGAAUACAGCAGCCAGAGAGGAGGGCAGUUCUCCUGGAAGAAGGUGCCCAUGCCAGCUGUGCCAGGGACUCACUGGAAGAUAAGUCACUGCCUUUCAGGACAUUCAUUCAUUCAUUCAUUCCCUCCACCAAAUACUAUUUAGGAAACACCCAACAUACUAAGCCUUUAUCUAUUUCUUCACAGGUAUUAGAAUAAUGCUUAAACCUUCCUCCCUACAAACACACACACACACACACACACACACACACACAACAGUGAUUAUUAAUAAGACCAGUGCUACCUCUCCAAGACAUCAGAGAAAAUAAAUUCAAAAUGAACUGUCUCAGUUCCUACUGCAAAUGCAGGAAGUUCUCCUGCUACGUCCAUCAUUCCUAAAAGUUCAACCUUGUUUUCAGAGUUAACUGCUGAUGGUUGAAAACGGCUUGUAUAUCCAACUGCCUUUUCGAUGUCUCUAUAUGAGGGUCUUACGAGAAUCUCCAACUCAACACGGCCGAAUGAGCUCCUGCUCUUCCCCGAGACCUGCCCCUCCUGCUGCUGUUCCUGUUUUUGUUUUUUGAAGCUCCGUCCUUCCAAGAGCUCAGAUCAAACCGCUGGACUGGCCUCGACUUUUCUCUCUCUCCCACUCCACAUCCGGCACCAGCAGUCUCAUUGCCUCUGGCUCACUCACCCUGCUCCAGCCACAGGGGCUUCCACACUGCUCCUCCAACACACCAGGCCUUUGCACUGGCUGUUUCCUCUGCCUCAACACCCUUCCCCCAGAUAUCUAUGGGGCACACUCCCAAGUUUUAUGCCUAGCCCAAAUGUCACCUUCUCAACGAGACCUUCCCUCACAUUCUACUUAAAACUGUAAUCUUGGCCGAAACCAUGUGGCUCAGUGGUUGAAUGUGGACCUAUGAACCAGGAGGUCACGGUUCAAUUCCCGGUCAGGCCAUAUGGCCAGAUUGCCUGCUCAAUCCACAGGCUGGGGUAUGCAGGAGGCAGCCGAUCAAUGAUUCUCUCUCAUCAUUGAUGCUUCUCUCUCUCUC